rnacentral:rRNA from 1 species
GACGAACGCUGGCGGCGUGCUUAACACAUGCAAGUCGAACGGAAAGGCCCUGCUUUUGUUGGGUUCUCGAUUGGCGAACGGGUGAGUAACACGUGAGUAACCUGCCCUUGACUUUGGGAUAACUUCAGGAAACUGGGGCUAAUACCGGAUAGAAUCUCCUGCUGCAUGUUGGGGGUUGGAAAGUUUCGGCGGUUGGGGAUGGACUCGCGGCUUAUCAGCUUGUUGGUGGGGUAGUGGCUUACCAAGGCUUUGACGGGUAGCCGGCCUGAGAGGGUGACCGGCCACAUUGGGACUGAGAUACGGCCCAGACUCCUACGGGAGGCAGCAGUGGGGAAUAUUGCACAAUGGGCGGAAGCCUGAUGCAGCAACGCCGCGUGCGGGAUGACGGCCUUCGGGUUGUAAACCGCUUUCGCCUGUGACGAAGCGUGAGUGACGGUAAUGGGUAAAGAAGCACCGGCUAACUACGUG